rnacentral:rRNA from 1 species
CCUACGGGAGGCAGCAGUGAGGAAUAUUGGUCAAUGGACGAGAGUCUGAACCAGCCAAGUAGCGUGAAGGAUGACUGCCCUAUGGGUUGUAAACUUCUUUUAUAUGGGAAUAAAAUGUUCCACGUGUGGGAUUUUGUAUGUACCAUAUGAAUAAGGAUCGGCUAACUCCGUGCCAGCAGCCGCGGUAAUACGGAGGAUCCGAGCGUUAUCCGGAUUUAUUGGGUUUAAAGGGAGCGUAGGUGGAUUUGUAAGUCAGUUGUGAAAGUUUGCGGCUCAACCGUAAAAUUGCAGUUGAAACUGGCAGUCUUGAGUACAGUAGAGGUGGGCGGAAUUCGUGGUGUAGCGGUGAAAUGCUUAGAUAUCACGAAGAACUCCGAUUGCGAAGGCAGUUCACUGGACUGCAACUGACACUGAGGCUCGAAAGUGUGGGUAUCAAACAGGAUCAGAUACCCUUGUAGUC